rnacentral:rRNA from 1 species
GUGGGGAAUAUUGGACAAUGGGCGAAAGCCUGAUCCAGCCAUGCCGCGUGUGUGAAGAAGUUCUUCGGAUUGUAAAGCACUUUAAGUUGGGAGGAAGGGCAGUAAGUUAAUACCUUGCUGUUUUGACGUUACCGACAGAAUAAGCACCGGCUAACUUCGUGCCAGCAGCCGCGGUAAUACGAAGGGUGCAAGCGUUAAUCGGAAUUACUGGGCGUAAAGCGCGCGUAGGUGGUUUUGUAAGUUGGAGGUGAAAUCCCCGGGCUCAACCUGGGAACUGCCUCCAAAACUGCAUGACUAGAGUACGGUAGAGGGUAGUGGAAUUUCCUGUGUAGCGGUGAAAUGCGUAGAUAUAGGAAGGAACACCAGUGGCGAAGGCGACUACCUGGACUGAUACUGACACUGAGGUGCGAAAGCGUGGGGAGCAAACAGGAUUAGAAACCCUUGUAGUCC